GGGCCAUACAGUCUCCAUCAAAACUACUCAACUCUCUCAUUGUAGCACAAAAGCAACCACAGAUAACACAUAAACCAGUAUGGAUUCCA